rnacentral:misc_RNA from 1 species
GAUGAAGAACGUAGCGAAAUGCGAUACUUGGUGUGAAUUGCAGAAUCCCGUGAACCAUCGAGUCUUUGAACGCAAGUUGCGCCCGAAGCCGUCAGGCCGAGGGCACGCCUGCCUGGGCGUCACACGCCGUUGCCCCCCCGCGCCCCGCACCCAACGCUUUGGGAGCGACCGCGGGGCGGGCUGAUGAUGGCCUCCCGUGCGCUCCGCCGCGCGGUUGGCCCAAAUACCGAGUCCCCGGCGACGUGCGCCACGACGAUCGGUGGUUGAGAGACCUCUGUCGCAAGUCGUGCGCGCCCGUCGCGUCACGCGGGCUCGCAUAGCGCCUCGCGCCGCAUCCGGUGCGGAGCUUUCAACGCGACCCCAGGUCAGGCGGGGUUACCCGCUGAAUUUAAGCAUAUCAAUAAGCGGAGGA